rnacentral:lncRNA from 1 species
CCUGCUACUCACUAGUCUGUCUGCAGCUGUAAAGCUAAUCUGAUAUCAUGUUUACAUUUUGCUGAUAUGUAAGUGGUGUAGUGUUUUCAUGAUUCUGAAGGGUAUCAAAUUUAAGCUGAGUAAAUUGAAGGAUGUAAUUAAUACACAACAGAUGUAUAAAGCAAGGAAUCUCAUGUCAAAUUUGGAUAGAUAGAUAUUGAUGAAUAAAAAAAUAUUAAGAGAUUGCUUUCCUGUUUGCUUUAAAAGGUACUGGAUUACUUACAGUAAGACCAACUUUGAGCACCACAUCAAAGUUUGACAAGUCUUCCUGAUGACUGUGCUUUUCAGGAUUUAAUGGACCUCUACAAGAUGGAAGACACGGAUAAACAAUGGAUAACUUCAAACAGAGCAAGACCUCAAACAGAGUCUCAUGACUCUCUUUCAAAGGCGACUGAAAGAAGUUUACAUAACAAGGCAAGGGUAAGGAUGGCACAUUUGAUCACAUUCCUCAGCAAGAAUGCCUGAAGGAUUCCCUGGAGGGAGCACUCAAUUAGGAGAGUUCAAGUUUAGAACUUAUUUAUUUAUUACUUCAGCUAUGAAUUGUGUUCUUCUUAAGAUGCAGUAAUUCUGAGCAACUGGCUUAAAUAUUCCUUUUUUGAGAAGUAAGAGAAAUCUUGAAUUUAAC